GGGUGGGGCAGGCACAGCGGCCGCGCGUCCUCGCCGGGUCCCGCGGAGCCCGGGGCUCGCAGUCGCUCGGGGCCCCAGAUUCCCAGGCGGCGACGGAGACAACUGGCGAGCUCGCCGGAAGCUCAGUGGCCACCGCGGCCGGAGGCCACGCCGCCGCUGGGACACCACUCUGGAGACUGCCUCCUCCCAAGUAUGUAAGGAGAAGUGUGAUUUAAUUAUCAAGCCAGAGAAAAAGAAGGAACCUCAUGAAUGGUGGCAAUUUUCAUCUUUUAGGAGUGCUUUUUAGCCAGUCAUGGAGUCUUGAAGAUUGACCUGACAUCAUGACUCUUAAAUCCAUCUCCUUUCCUCCACCCUUGUCUUUAGUCUAUGAACCCAUGAAUUCUUCAUGUGGCAGGCAGAGUGAUCUCUCUAAAGGCCUGUGUAUCUGGUGAAUGCACAUCUUCCAUCAAGACUCAGAUCAACUGGAUGCCUGCCUUCAGCUCAGGGCAUGAUCCUGGGAUCAAGCCCUGCAUUGGGCUCCUUCGUAGGGGAGCCUGCUUCUCCCUCUGCCUAUGUCUCUGCCUCUCUCUUUCUA